GUCUUGAUAAACAGUGGGCAGAGAGAUGAAGGCCCUGUUCCCCGGAUAACUUGCUGUGCAGGAGGAGCACCUCUCCCUCCCUGGCUCACUUUCCUUUCUCUCUCCUCAGCUCUCCGCAUUUGUUUUUCACAUUCUCCAAAGUAUUAUACUUUCUUCCUUUUUCAUACACCUUUGAUAUUUCUAUUUCAUCUCGGCCCUGAUACAUCCAGGUUUUUAGCUAAAAGUUUCUGUGUGCAUGUGUGUGUUUUAUUUCAUCAAGCAGAAUUUAGUCUAUGGUUUGUGUAUUUCAGAAGCUCUGUGUUUCAGCUUCUCUUCCCCUGGUACACUGAGCUCCUGCCCCAAGCUCAGGCCGCCUGUGCAUGACAGGUAUGAGGCCAGCAUUCUGUGAUUCACCUGGAAAACACAAGUCCCCACUUCUUCCUCAUUUCUGUGCCUCUCUGGAGGGAACCCUGGCAGCCCUUGCCUCAGUUUCUGGGACAAUCCAGGCAGCUCUCCAUCACUGGAGAACACCAGAUGGAAUGGAUGGAGGCAAUUUUUCAGAAAGUACUUUAAGAGCGGCUUCCUCAGUGGUCUUUCCAGCUGGAAGCAGAGCGUCCAGAAAGCACCGCAUUCUCAGCGCUGUUUCAUUGCCUCAAGAGCUACAGAUGGCUUCCCCAAGCACCUGAAGUCGAUGCUGCUUGCCUGGAUGGAAUAAGCUGCAAGCUGCAGAAACUCUUGUCUUUUCACAGUGGAACUCAGACUCCAGUUUCUUUCUGCCUUGAGAGUGAAAGAAAGGAGAAGACACAGAGUAGGAAAGAGCCAGAAGGUGGAGAAAUUAAUGUUUAAUGCUUGAUACUCCCGGGGCCUGGCCAGCUGCUCAAAAAAAGGAAGGAGGUGAUGAAGAGAGAAAGAAAGGAUGGAAGGAAGGAGGAAGUGGACAAUGAGCCCAGAGCCCUCACCUGAGUUCCAAACAUUUAAGUCAAACUGCCAACUUCAUUCUCCAUUUGGACGAUUUCUCAACAUGUACAAAACCAAGUCCUGAUUUUUCCGUGACCCCAAAUCUGUUCUAUCUGAAGCCUCCCUAUCUCAGUUACUGAUCCUGGCUGAUGGAUGUAAUGAAGGCAUGAACUAUACUAGUUGAACAAGGAAAUGAACUUGAACCAAAUUGUGAAGUUCUCUGCAGUGAAAUAUUAAAGAUUAGCAAGCUAAACAGAGAAAAAGAUAACACUCAAGAAACUGCCUAUAUGUAAGAGAUUCCUUUGAGAACUUUCAAAUGGCUCCUUUCUACAAAAGACCUGAGAAUACUUAACCCCCCACCACUAGCACACUCAAAGCUCAAGGCAAAUGCAUUUUCAAGAUUGACAGGGUCUUGGACUCUGAAAGUCUUUGGACCCAAGAAAAAUCGUGUUAUCUAAGAGAGCAGUUAUUCUGACACAGACUGAUAUCAGGUGCCUGUGGCAUGAAACACGGAAGAGAAUAAUAGCAUCUACCUUAUAAGAAGACAUACUAUAUUCUGGACCACAUAUCUGAUAAUUCUUACAGCCCUUUAAAGAUAAUCAUAACUAGAAUAUUAUCUUAUUUUGUAGCUCAUAGAUGUCAAAAGACUAGCUCAUAAUUUUAUUGCGGAUACAUAGCAGAACCAAGAUUUGAACUCAGACCUGUCUCAUUCCACAACUCAUUUUCCUUGAAGUCAAUAGAUGCCACUGAUCUCUAAAUACCUACAAAAGGGGCUCGGAGGUGGAGAGGGGAUGUCUGAGGAGCCUUAGGACUACCACCCAAUGUUCUGUCUUUAGAUAGAGAUGCUAUCACCAAUCUCUCUUUCACACAUACUCCUCCUCUUCUCAUUUCUGUUCGUGUACUUGGUUCUCAGUGUAAGAUUUUGUUAGAAGAAAGAGGCAUGUUGGUAAAAUAAGAAAUAAUAUAUCAAAAAUAAAAUAAAAUUGUUUGAAAGUCU
rnacentral:lncRNA from 10 species